rnacentral:rRNA from 1 species
AUUGAACGCUGGCGGCAGGCCUAACACAUGCAAGUCGAACGAGUGGCGGACGGGUGAGUAAUGUCUGGGAAACUGCCCGAUGGCGGGGGAUAACUACUGGAAACGGUAGCUAAUACCGCAUACCAUCGGAUGUGCCCAGAUGGGAUUAGCUAGUAGGUGGGGUAACGGCUCACCUAGGCGACGAUCCCUAGCUGGUCUGAGAGGAUGACCAGCCACACUGGAACUGAGAGACGGUCCAGACUCCGACGAGAGGCAGGAGUGGGGAAUAGUGCACAGUGGGCGCAAGCCUGGUGCGGCCGUGCCGCGUGUAUGAAGAGGGCCUUGGGGUUGUAAGGGGCUUUCAGCGAGGAGGCGUGACUCGCAGAAGAAGCACCGGCUAACUCCGUGGCAGCAGCCGCGGUAAUAC